CAUUAUUAGGUUAAAAGUCUUUGUCGCAAAAAUCAAAACAAGGAGAUGAAGGGCCAAGAUCAUCAAACAAGCUUUCAUCCAAUGGUGAAUAUCUAAAAGUAAUUAGGGUUUGAUAGCUGACAGCACGAUAUAAAUGAAGCCAAUCUCUGAAACUUUCAUUUACAGCCCAACCGAGUCAUUAGAGGAAACGGAGUCAUAUUGUGAGGUCGCCAUUAGAGGAAACGGAGAGGGAGUUCAGGAUUUUCGGAAGGUUCUGGGAUGGGUGAGCGGGGAAGAUAAAUUAAUUAUGUAAAAUUUAAUUAUUUUUUAAUUGUUGUUGUUAUUAUCUUCCCUACUCCACCCAUGCCAUAGGUUUCCGACUAUUCGUCCCUCUCCUUAAACCUCUGUUUCUUGAUCAUCUCCGUCGUCAGCUGUUUUCUUCCGAUCCGGUCAAUUUCGUUGGUUUGUUUAUAACCGGAUGAUCUUACUUAACUAGCACCACAAUAAGCGACCCGAAUGUUAGUCUUCACGUUGUCGUUCGACGCCCACAAAAAAAAAAAAAAAAAAAAAAAAAAAAAAAAAAAAAAAAAAAAAAAAAAAAAAGAAAAAAAAAAAAAAAAAA